UACAGAGGGUGCAAGCGUUAAUCGGAAUUACUGGGCGUAAAGCGUGCGUAGACGGUUAUGUAAGUCGGAUGUGAAAGCCCCGGGCUCAACCUGGGAAUGCCAUUCGAGACUGCAUAGCUAGGGUGCGGAAGAGGGAAGCGGAAUUUCCGGUGUAGCGGUGAAAUGCGUAGAUAUCGGGAGGAAUACCGAUGGCGAAGGCAGGUCUCUGGGCUAUAACUGACGCUCAUGCACGAAAGCGUGGGGAGCAAACAGG
rnacentral:rRNA from 1 species